AAAUUUCGGCUGCAUGCCACAGCCUUCUUCAGAGUGCCUAUAGCUUUACACAGAACAUACUUAUAUACAGGGACGCCGGAACUGGGGGGCAGGGGGGGCGGCUGCCCCCCCCUGCCUUUUGCUAGGGGCGGCAGGGGGGGCAGAAGUGCCCUUUUGGUUAUAAAAAAAAUACGUGAUAAAUGACAUUUAGAAGGAAGGUUUUUGUCCGAAAAAUAUGAGAUUCAGACAAUUUAGAGUUAUAUUUCACUUAUGGUAUGUCCGGAAAAUUUUUUUUUUGGGGGGGGGGUGGGGAGGUCGCCAAACUUUUUGGAUAAAAAAAAUCGGAAGAUUUCGAAGUUUCGCUUUAGACAAGUGCCCUUGCUGUGGGUCCGCCCCCCUUUGCCUUAUGAUCGUUCCGGCGUCCCUGCUUAUAUACAAUAAAUUAUGAAUAAAUUACUAUUGUUGGGCGAAAUCAUGACUUCCAUUAAGGCCUUUCCGGUUGGUCAACAACAUUCCUAUCCAAAAGUUUUCACUCUUAAGUACUUCACUAUGGUGUUGGUUGUUUCACUCUUAAAUACUUCACUAUGGUGUGAUAGUUGUAAGAACUUUUUGAUUUUUGGCAAUUCCUUUCGUGCAGCUGCCACUGGAAGGAUAUUUCUCAUUUUAAAAUCUUUGACGUGCACUUCCAGUAAUGUAGUGUAUCUUGCUGAGUGUGUGCUUUGUGGUUUGCAAGGUGUUGGCUCUACGGCCAAUUUUAAGUCCAG